rnacentral:rRNA from 1 species
AUGGCAAAGGAAAUUUAUUCUAGUAGACUUUUCUUUGAGAUCUUCACCAUUACUGCAUGGAAUAUUUGGAAGGAGAGAAAUAAAUUCAUCAUCAAUCAAAUUACUCCUUCAAAUAGAGCUUGGUUUGAGAGGACUAAGGCUGACCUUACCUGGCUUAGAUAUAGAGUGUCCCCUGAUCUCAGUGAUUAUAUCACUUCUUUUGUAAAUUCACUUUAG